GGGAAACGUCCAAGUCAUCUUUAUCUUGUCAGUGGC
rnacentral:sRNA from 1 species